ACCGGGCCUCGGCCCGUGCGGUUUUUUCGCCUAAUAGUGUUAAAUUUCAGGUUUUCGAGAUUUUUUUUAAAUGUGUAUUGGUUCGGCCCAGGCUGAUUUUAUCUUCUAAAAACAUCGGCCCAUGCCGAGUUUUAGGUCAAGAUCCGCCACUGCUUUGAGGUAUCCGAAAAUUUUGCCUUUGGAAUUAUAAGAACAUUUGGCAUGUAUGGUUAUUCAGCCUAGACCAUUUUUAGAUCACCUUGGUGUUAAAAGAGGUUUAUCUUACAAGAUAGUGGAAAGUUUAUGCAACAAAAAAUACUUGAAGUGAAGAAUUCAAAAGCUACUACGAAGUAAAGGGAUGGUCUCAUAAAUCUUGAAUAUGUGAUUUCAAGUUUUGAUUUUGGUGAAGUGUGUUUUGUAGUUUGCUCAUUUGGGAACCCACAAAUGUUUUCUUGCUGGUUUUUAACUUGUCAUGCAUUGAAUCAGUAAAUCUUGUAUGACACUAAAACUAUUUUGCACAGUUCAUGCCGUGUUUUAUUGUACAAUCUGUUGUUGAUAUUAUACCUUGUGGUGUGCAAAACAUUUUUUGUCUUUCCUCAGUUCAGUUGUUUUUUCCUCUUUACUCGAUAUGCAAAUGAGUCAAGCACAUCUAUCUAUUAUACUAAAGCAAAAUAAUGUUGACUUUUUGACCUUUGAUGUGGCAAUGCUCUUUGGCCAGAGAAUAGUUUUUUUGGGCGGCAUUUUCCUUCUUCUUACCUACGCUCUUCUUCAAUUUGGAAACCUAAUCAAUUCUCUCAAUCAGUUACGCUCUUCUUCAAUUUGAAAAUCAUUCUCCAGGCAAAUUGAUUUCUCUUUAAAUCUCAAAACCUAAUCAAAUUGACAUUGCUGAGAAGCCAGGAAAUUGAGAAUUGAACGGCAAUACUUUUCUCCUCUUUUUCUUUCACGCUAAUCGUGUUCCUUCAUCAUCUACGAUCCUAAUCUCUGUCGUUCUUAUUCAUAAAACAAACAGGGAAUUCAAUCGUUUCAAUCGGUUUAGUUUCAAGCCGGUUGGAAAGAACUGGCGUCCGUUUUCACUUAGAGCAUGCAUGAAAGAAAGUGUGACCGUAACUGUUAAACCUGGAACUUCACUCCAGAUAACAGUCGUUGCUGUGGAGGGACAGCGCACUGGUGUCACUUUGGUGGAUGUGACACCCCAUGGUUUCGGAGUGGAAAAACCUGAUGGAUCUGGGUCUAAUGUAAGCAAGGAAAGCACUGAUCCAAAUAAAGAUCUGGAAGCUGCUAUUCGUUCAAAAAAACCGAAGCUCUACGGAAGCGUUGAUGCUUUCUUUGACCGAGAUUUUCUGAAGAUAUAUUUGAAAAACAGCCUAAAUGAGGACAAGAAGAAGCCAGUAGAUAUAAUUGACAUUGCUUCAAAGAUUCUACCUUUCCCAGCUGAACGCCGCCUCCUUUCUGCUGCUUUCAAAGUUGCGAAACCAUUUGCUGGACACUUUGCUAAACAGGCCUUUCUUUUCAUUCUCGAAAUAAUACCUCCUAACCUCCCAACACUACCUGCUGCGGAAUCUGAGAAUCACCCCGAUGAAUCUGAGAAUCACCCCACACUUUCAGAAGGUAAAGAUCACUCUGAUGAACCCAAAGGUUGACCUGUGGUUAUGAUCGGGCUGUAGGGGCUGCCGGUGUCAGUUGAAAGCGCCGGUGAAUGACGGCUUGGGGGUUUUGGUCGAAACAACCAUGUGGAAAUCUAGCCAAGUGUGUAUACACUUGAGGGAUGAUUGUGAGCUGAGUUGAAAGAGGUCAAAGAUGAUGUGUUUCAAGGUGACGACGGCUACCCACUUAAAGCAUGCUACCCACUGAUGUUACAUGUGUUCUUCAAAUUCUUAGAGACUGUGAUCCCAAAAUAUAACGAUUUCAAGCAGCCCGGAGACAGAUACCGAUCAUGGGAUCCAGCCAGGCAAGAGAGAUUCAUUGUCCGAAUGUGUAAGAUAUUGUCUGACCCACGGGUAACCCAUGAACUCCGCAGUAUUUGGAUCUCCUACUGGACCCAGGCUUACCAGUCUCUGGGGCAGAAGAUAGCAUCACGCCUCAAUGUGCACCCCAAUUAUUGAACACGGUUAUAUUGAGUUUGGGCCCGCUUAAGCUAGAUUGAUGAUCAUGCUAUAGUAGGUCCAUCUCUAAGAUUGUUAUGUUACACAAGCGGGGUUGUAUGUAUCAGUCCUACCUUUCGUCUGUAAUAUUUUAUCAUACUUAAGGAACCUGAAACUUAGAAUAAGUGAACACCUAGAUGUGU
rnacentral:lncRNA from 1 species